rnacentral:rRNA from 1 species
UACGUAGGGGGCUAGCGUUGUCCGGAAUCAUUGGGCGUAAAGCGCGUGUAGGCGGCCCGGUAAGUCCGCUGUGAAAGUCGGGGGCUCAACCCUCGAAAGCCGGUGGAUACUGUCGGGCUCGAGUACGGAAGAGGCGAGUGGAAUUCCUGGUGUAGCGGUGAAAUGCGCAGAUAUCAGGAGGAACACCAAUUGCGAAGGCAGCUCGCUGGGACGUUACUGACGCUGAGGAGCGAAAGCAUGGGGAGCAAACAGG